rnacentral:rRNA from 1 species
UACGGAGGGGGCCAGCGUUGUUCGGAAUUAUUGGGCGUAAAGGGCGCGUAGGCGGUCGAGUAAGUCUGACGUGAAAUCCCUUGGCUCAACCAAGGAACUGCGUCUUAAACUGCUCGGCUUGAGUCCGGGAGAGGGUAGUGGAAUUCCCAGUGUAGCGGUGAAAUGCGUAGAUAUUGGGAGGAACACCGGUGGCGAAAGCGACUUCCUGGACCAAUACUGACGCUCAUGUGCGAAAGCGUGGGGAGCAAACAGG